GCAGAAGUGGUACCUAAGUGAUACUGAGGAUGAAGAUAUACUUGAACAUAUUGAGAAGCUAAUUGCGGUGGAUAAGAAGGAUGAUCUUUUAGAUUUUAUAAGAAGCCAAGUUGAUAAACUUAUUGAGGACUUUAAUAGAAAUGGCUCUUGACUGGCAUACUCUAUCCUCUAUAAGUGUGUACAUUCUAGUGCACUUAAUUGUGCAGCAGCACUAUUGGAAGAGGAGACUGAUCUGACCCAAUAUUUUAAAUUGCCUGGACCCAAGAACAGUCCCUUUAAUUGUGCAGUAGCACUAUUGGAAGAGGAGACUGAUCUGACCCAAUAUUUUAAAUUGCCUGGACCCAAGAACAGUCACUUUACAAGUUGAUUUUUAGACUUAUUGGACAGGGAAUGCAUGGGCCAAUAGAAACCAUGAAGUUGCUCAUGCGUGAGAUAUCUUCCUCAGAGAUGAUGUGUGUGAUCUAGAGCUCAUGGAAGGUAACAAGUUGGUUGAGUGCAGAGAAAUGCAGAAUUCAAUCAUGACUAUACUGAUGUUGCUUGAAAUUUUUUUGAGGACUGGACAUCAUAUUGCAUGGGAGGCAAGUGAAGCAAGUUAUUUUGUAUGUAUCUCUGACAUCCAAUCCACUUUGUUAGUUUAUUUAGGUAAUUACCUUUUUAUAGUCACGUGUUCUUUUGAUUGGGGAAGGAGAUAACCCUUCUGCCACAAAUGAGU